UACUUCCUUUUCCCAGCCUAGUUCCAAUACUCAUAACAUACUUCCUUUUCCCAGCCUAGUUCCAAUACCGACAACAUACUUCCUUUUCCCAGCCUAGUUCCAAUACCGACAACAUACUUCCUUUUCCCAGCCUAGUUCCAAUACCGACAACAUACUUCCUUUUCCCAGCCUAGUUCCAAUACUCACAACAUACUUCCUUUUCCCAGCCUAGUUCCAAUACUCAUAACAUACUUCCUUUUCCCAGCCUAGUUCCAAUACCGACAACAUACUUCCUUUUCCCAGCCUAGUUCCCGACAACAUACUUCCUUUUCCCAGCCUAGUUCCAAUACCGACAACAUACUUCCUUUCCCCGGCCUAGUUCCAAUACUCACAACAUACUUCCUUUCCCCGGCCUAGUUCCAAUAUGUAUCUCUUGUUCUAAUACAAACCACAUGCCACAUGACUUAUGCUAACACCUAUCUUUAUGUUCUCCAGAUCUACAGGGUCGAGACUUUCAAAAAAAAAAAAUAGAAAUAGAAUGAAAGGACUUUUUAAAAGAUGUAAAUUAAGUCUAGAUUUGUAUUUGUUUUGUGAUCGUGAUUUAUCUAUCUCUACAUAAUGUUGUCAUUGUAUGAAAGAAACCUUUUCUACAUCCCAAAUAACCCUCUAUUCACUUUAUCGUGCACUAUUUUAACCAGGGCCCAUAGGGCUCUAGGGCACUAUGUAGAAAAUAGGGCACCAUUUGGGACAGAUCCGUGAGUAAGUUUGAUUCGAGUUGUGUUUUCUGUGAAGCCUGUUCCUGAAUUUGUUUUGUAUUAGCCAACUCCCCUGAUUUAUCAAUUGUCAUGUUCUGGGUCUGUGUUCAUAAAGCCUCUCCUAGUAGGAGGGCUGAUCUAGGAUCAGUUUGUGCUUCAGCCAACCUGUCCGGGGGCCUGUAUUUAUAAAGCCUCUGCUGAUCUAGAAUCAGUUCCCCCUUUUUGUGUAUAAUCAUCCGAUUCUGAUAUUUUGCCCAGUCAAAAGACCAAUUAUUGCCAAAUAGAUCAGAAUUGGGCUGCCUGUGGAAAACACGGCCACCGUGAUCUAAAAGACUAAUCUGAUUCUAGAUCAGCCCUCCUACUAGGAGUGGCUUUAUGAAUACAGUUCCUGGACAGGUUGGCUGAAGCACAAACUGAUCCUAGAUCAGCUUUACUACUAGGAGAGGCUUUAUGACUACAGGCCCCGAACAGGUUAGCUGAAGCACAAACUGAUCCUAGAUCAGCUUUACUACUAGGAGAGGCUUUAUGACUACAGGCCCAAGACAGGUUGGCUGAAGCCUAAACUGAUCCUAGAUCAGCUCUACUACUGGGACAGGCUUUAUGACUACAGGCCCAAGACAGGUUGGCUGAAGCACAAACUGAUCUGGGACCUGGCUAUGUAUUGUUAUUGUAUAUUUGAUUAAUGAUACAAUGAAUAAACGUGUACAUUUCAACCA